UCCGGCCCGUGUACGGCGGCGCCUCCCGCAGCGCAGUGGGUGGUGAGGACACCGUAGACCCUCACCCCGGCGUGCUGUGCCCUGAAGGUCUGGAACCUGCGGGCACCUUAGGAUAGUGAAGACGAUUCCAGGGAGAUGGACAGCUCAAGCAAAUGAAGGGGAGAAACAGUCCUCAUCCAUAUGGUCUCUAGUCAGCUCUGCAUCACAUGUGCAAGUAAAGGUGUGAAAGGGAAAAGAAACAGGGAGAGAUAAGGAGAACCAGCCCAAGUCCAGCAAAAGUAGGCAGCAUCUGCAUUGCACCCUGCAUUAUGACUGCCACAUUCCUGCAAGUUCCCUAGCAGAAGUGCUUGCAGUCUGGCUCAGAUGAGACUCCUCACAACUUCACAACAUGCACACUUUGCCUACUACCUGCCCAGUCCUGCAUGUCCUGAGUCAGUCACGUUUGCUGGCUGCUGCAGCAGUGUUUGCAGACUCAUAGUGUCCCCCGUCAGAUCUGAUCUGCACGUCUCCAGUAUUUUCCUCAGGAUAUCCAGUGGCUGGGUCUGAACCAUCACGCCAACCAAACUGCCCAAUGCUUAGAAGUAAACAACAAACUGAAAGUGAAGCCCUUUGAACCCACCCAGUAGCCCUGCCUCAGCCCUCCACAGGGCUUCCUAGUUCAGGUCUAGUGUGGGACAAAGGCAAGAAACCUGCCUGAGAAGGAACCAGAACUCAUUCCCCAGGAAUCCUGAGUGCUGGCCAAUGCCAUGCAGGGUUGUUAGUGUGACUGUCAUUUUUGCUGUCUACAUCUGUGUUAUCUAGAUUUUAGGGUUAUCCACCU